AGACCCGAAACCCGGUGAUCUAGCCAUGGGCAGGUUGAAGGUUGGGUAACACUAACUGGAGGACCGAACCGACUAAUGUUGAAAAAUUAGCGGAUGACCUGUGGCUGGGGGUGAAAGGCCAAUCAAACCGGGAGAUAGCUGGUUCUCCCCGAAAGCUAUUUAGGUAGCGCCUCGUGAAUUCAUCUCCGGGGGUAGAGCACUGUUUCGGCUAGGGGGCCAUCCCGGCUUACCAACCCGAUGCAAACUGCGAAUACCGGAGAAUGUUAUCACGGGAGACACACGGCGGGUGCUAACGUCCGUCGUGAAGAGGGAAACAACCCAGACCGCCAGCUAAGGUCCCAAAGUCAUGGUUAAGUGGGAAACGAUGUGGGAAGGCCCAGACAGCCAGGAUGUUGGCUUAGAAGCAGCCAUCAUUUAAAGAAAGCGUAAUAGCUCACUGGUCGAGUCGGCCUGCGCGGAAGAUGUAACGGGGCUAAACCAUGCACCGAAGCUGCGGCAGCGACGCUGAUGCGUUGUUGGGUAGGGGAGCGUUCUGUAAGCCUGUGAAGGUGGCCUGUGAGGGUUGCUGGAGGUAUC
rnacentral:rRNA from 1 species